UUAUCUCUCUCACUCUCUCAUUAUCGUCUCUCUCUCUAAACCUAUCAAACAUUUUCCCCAUUUUGGUCUCUCUUGACGGCGAUGAUGACGGUGAUGGUGGAUUGGUGACGGGACAGUGAGUUAUGCGACGGUGGAUUGGUGACGACGACGGUGGCGGUGACAGUGAGUGUGUUUCCUAAGUAUUUCUCGUUUAGUUUAAAGAAUAGGAUAAACACAAGAUGUUUGUUGAGAAAGGUGUGUGCUUGUCAUUGCCAAUUGCUAGAACAAUUUCUUGUAAAGGUACAUUGGUGCAACACUAUGAUGAUUGGAGAUACUAAAUGGAAUGAGGUGGUUAGUAAAGAAAAUCAAUGGCAUCAAAAGAUAAUGUUAAUGGACGACGUAAGAAAAGUAAGAAAGGUACUGAUAAUCUUCCUGUAGGUCAAUAUACACCACCACCACCCGUUACGAUAACUCUUCAACCAGCUACUACAAAUCUUCCUCCUCCUUCUAGAUACACUACCAAAUGCAUUUUUUAUGCCCCCACCGUCUGACAAGUUCCAUACCUCUUCUUUCCAAAAUAGUUUGCAUAGUAGCUCUUCAUCUGUGCCUUCGAUAUCAUCCACACCAAGCUUUUCUGGAUUGAGAAUUGGAGGUCCUAACACAUCAACAUCACCAUUCAUUGAUAGUGAUACAGUGUCUAAUGCUACAGCACCUGCUUCUCAGAAUCUGCAAUUUAAAGAGGUAUUAGAAUAUGACAAGUUUGGGAGGCUACGAAUCAUCACUGGUGGUGAUGGGUUCAUUCUAGUAUAUGCCGACGGGCAUAUGGCUAUAGAAGAAAUUAAACCAUUUUUCAAAAAGCCGUGGAAUAGUUGGAACGAUAUUCCAUAUGUAAUUAGAAUUGUCACGUGAAAACAGUUUACGGUAUAAGCAGUCUUAUAAGCUAUGAAUCUCAUUGCCCAAAGAUAGUUUUUCCAUUGUAUCCAUCACCUUAUUUCAUGACUUUAUAUUAAACUAGUUUGUAGACAAAGUGUACAUGGAGUUAUUGUCAUGAUAAUGAAAUAGAUUGUAUUUUUUGAUUAAAAGCAGUUCUACGGAACAAAGAAUACUUGUAUGAGGCCCGGGGAAAAUUGCAACAACCUAGUUGGGUGAAUGAUGAAGUGUGGGCUAAGUUCUUGGAAUUAUGGGACACUCCUGAAUAUAAGGCGAAGAGGGAAUGGGGAAAGGAAAAUCGAGCCUCUGAAGUGGGUGGCUCAUUGCACACUAGAGGUUCAAUGAGUUUCGCUACCUACCGACGAAGACUGGUUAACUAGGAGGAAACAAUUAUUCCUUGUCAUUACAAUCUCUCACUGUAUAGCUACGAGCCCAGUUGCAUCAUGGAAAGUUUUUUUCUCUUGAAGCGGGAUCUUGCAUUAUAGAACUGCUAGAGGAGGCAAAGCUGAGAUACUUCUGCAGAUUGUUAUUGAAGUUUUUAUUGAAAUACUUAAAUGGGGAGUAGAUGUACCUCUUGCUAAGGUCUUCGAAGAGACGCAUAAGAAGAAAAAUUCAGACGGUACAAGAGAAGACGGGGUCGAACCACAUGCUAAGGAUACAUAUUAAGGAUUUCAAAAAGACAUAAGGAUUUCAAAAAGACAUAGAAGAUUGGUGUCAAAGCCAACCUGCUUCAAGGAUGGUACCAUGGUCCAACCAUCGUCUGCAGAUAUGACUAGAAUAUGGACAGCUGUGGUAGGUGGUUCAAAGAAAGGUAAAACCUAUGGGCUUGGAGUUCACCAAUCCCCGGGUGGUCCUUCCCCAAUGUUACUCGACUCCACUUCUAUUUAAUAAAAUACGAAAGAAAUGGAAGCAAUGAAAAAGCAAAUUAAAGAGUUGAUACAACAGUGUACGCGCAGUUAAUGAUGCCAAGUUUGAGGAGUUGGUCAAAAAGCACAUGCCUCAAGUAUUUAAUGAUGAGGAAGACAGUGAAUGAGAUGAGUAGAUUGUAGUUAUUGGUUCUUGCUUUUGAUUGUGACGUUUAGACUUAAAAGUUCUCUUGGAACGUUUAAACUAUUAAAAUUGGUAUUUGUUUUGGAUCGUGACGUUUCGACUUAAACUUGUCUUGAAAUGAUUAAACAAUUUGACUCGAUGUUUGUUUU